CCGCAUCCUGAAUAUAUUUAUGAGUAUAGAAUCAUGUCAAACUCAAAUACAUAUUUAUAUCAAUUCUCCAUCAAUCAGUGAUGACUUCAAUGAUGAAGCAUUAAAAUUUUUUUUUAAUCUUUAUCCUACUUUGGCCAAAGACUUUCUAAGUCAUCUAGAGAUGAGAAUACAUAGGAUGACAUCUCUUCUUACUAAGAGUGAUCGAUUCUUUAUUGACUGAUUCAUAACUUUCAUACACACUCCAUCAUAUCCAAAAUAUCCCAUACAUGUCUUUAUGUCAUAUUUGGGUAUGAACCAAA
rnacentral:lncRNA from 1 species